CCGCGCGCCUUGGGGCGUGCGCCGCGUCCUCGGCGACCCGGCCACCAGGGCCUUCUGGCGCGCCGCAUCCCUCGCACACAGUCCGGCGCGGGGACACCGUCCCUGGCAUCGCACUCAAGUACUUCGUCCAGAGAUUACUUGCAAGUUGACGGCGGCAGGUCGGGAUACGUGGAUGCCCCUGCAUAGCGCGACGUCGGUGUAAUGCCUAGGAUCCUUCAUCGCCCAAGGUAAACAUGUGUUUGACCUCUCUUCUUAUAUUCCCCUCAUGUUCUGCUGGUUGUAUAUGUGAAUGGCUGUGCAUAGUAAAUUUUGGUGAUUUAUUUUGCACUAUGAGGUUUCUGUUGACAGCAUAUGCAUAUCUUUCUUCAAUCUAGCAUCAAUGUAUUGAGGUAACUUUAUUAUCACAUUCAGGUUCAUGGAGCCAGGUUAACGAGCUCAUAGAACAUCUAGUGAUUAAAGUCCUAAUACCUAGAAUGUAAUAUACUUUGGUCUCCAAUCUGAAUUUUAUUUAUCUUGUUGCACAUGUUUUCGAGUUUCCGAGCCCUGAAUUAGAGAGGACAUCAUUGGUAAGUGUUCCGCCUACAGGGAUAUCCUUGAUUUUCAAGUAGAUAAAAAGAUUUUAGUAAAAAUAUAUUAUUUCUGUUUUAAAAUAACAAACAUGCAACUAUGUAUAAAUCUUAUUUUUGUAUAGAACCAAAGUUCCCGGAGCUAAAAAGACCAAAUUCCAAUAAUAUAUUUAAAUUCAUUUUGGUUUGAUUAUACAGCUUCCAAAACAUGGCAAGAACAAACUUCCUCCUAUCAGCAUAUGCUUGUUUUGUUUUGUUUUCAAAUGCAGGCUGCCAUUGAGGAAAAAGAGGUCAUGGAGAUAUCAAAGCUCGACAAAAUAAUAGAAAAAUUAAGCGGAGAGUGUGCUGCAACUGAAUUAUCUGCCCGAAGUGAACAUGACAUAAUAUGAUUCUCUAGAGGAAAUUGGAUGAUUCUUUGAGAGAGAUAUCUGUGUUGUGCAGUAAUAAGAUUCUGAAAGCAGAACAAGAAAUAAGAGAACUCUAAUACAAAGGUUUUUGAGGAUAUUCAUUUUGUGUACCUCAAUUAGCAGUCAGAGUGCGUAUUGCCCUCCAUGUUCAGUAUGCUGACCGAAGUAACGAUGUGGUUUCACGCCCGCAUAUGUCAAUUUCCCAAUAGAGGUUUGAUUUGUUUUUCUUUUUUCUGUUUCGUAACUCAGUUUUGGUAUGCUCUCCAAAUCUAACAAUAGUUUUCUUAUGGAGAUGGUACUUGAGAAUAGAUUAGUACAUUGGAGCCUUGGGCUCCAGGCCGAGGCCUUCUGAAAGUGCAACUACACGCUGCCCGUCGGCUCCGGUGGCGGCAGGUCAUGUUUGGCAUCACCAGGAACUUCGUUAUCCUAUCCCAGAGAGCAGUCCGUGGUAGAUGCGGUGAGGGUGCGUGCGCCGGAGCAGAUGAGUAAUUUGAUUUUCAGUUCAAAGUCAAUAAAAAGAGGUUGCUUUCUUCGUCUACCUAAAGGAGCUCACUGAUAUUGUGGCAAUAAUCUAGGAGGACCAUCAGUCAUAUGUUGAUUGAGUAUAGGUUUGUGUGCCUCGGCCUCAACUUUAAAUGAAAAACCUUUUAUUGUAUGUAGUUGAUCUACAUGUGUUUAUGAUCAGUAAGAUACUCUAUUGGCGAAUUGUUUAACUGUUUUCUUUUUUCCCGCUUUAGUUGGAGUAGUUACAAAAUGGCUUUCAUAGGACGAAAAGGUUUAUGUAAAUUUGCGAGCCAACUACCAUGGAUAAAGUGCACCCAAGAAACAUUAUAAUGCAUCCAUGGUCAAGUUUCCAUAGACUUGCUAAAGUUUAAGGAAGAUUUCCAAAGGAUGGUGAACUUCAAAUAAUUUUGUUUUUUGCCUUUCAACUUAUCAAGUUUCUGUGUAGUUACUAGAGGACAUCACAUUGUUUGAUCCUAUAAUUCUAGCUGCUUAUAUUGUCUGGAGAUUUUCAUAUUUCUAGGGUCAAUCGAUGUCUUAGAUUUAAUGCUAAACUAUGGUAUGUGCCUGUCGGUCGCGGCUGCGCUGUAGUGUUGAUCCCCUCUUCAUGGAUAUGGUUUGGGUCAUCGAGGCAUCACAUCAAGAGCUGAAGUCGUCUGGGUGGUGGUGUUCAUGACAUUUGUGUCUCUUCUCUCCCUUUUCAGUCUCUUUAUUUUUUAUACUUUAUCUUGUGACCAGCGACCACUAAUUUUCAUGUCCACUGGGAGGAAGAAGCAUGGUGGAUGAGCCUUUAUUUGCAACAACCACAUCAAAUAUUUGAAGAGAUGAAUCGAACUCGUAGUACCCAUUUUAAGUUAUCACAUCUAUCUCAAAUGAAAUUAUAUUUCUGUUGAUUUUUUGAGUUCCCAGUUUGUUGCUUCACAUAGACUAUUUAGGGGUUAUCUGAAAUAAACUUUUUAGGUAGUGCAGGAAACAAAAACAAAAGAAAUAAUAAAGAGCCAUUCCUGGUUUUGCUGGAGAAGGUGAAAGUCUUUGUAAAAGACCAGGUGUAAAACUGAUCUAAACAUAUUUUUUGUUGCUUCAUUGUUUUCUUAUUUUACAUGUAACUCUCAAUAUUUACACACUAUUUUAAUUAUGAUGUAAUCAAAGCAAAAGGGACUUGGGGCUCUAUGGAGUCUGCAGAAUGAUAAACUAGCCAUUUGCCUUCAACCACCUCCUUUUUUCUAUUAUAGAUGAUUGACCAGGUCUUAUAUUUUGGAACGGAGGGAGUAUAUAUAUAUGGUAAGCAACCUCAAAACAAACGAUGUCAAGGUGUUUUGGGAAGAUGAUCAGUCCAUCAACAUCUCAAAAGGCUGCACAAGACAUUCUUCUAUGGUCAAACUUCCAAUAAGAACUUCUCAUCGACUGGGGUGUCAUGCUAUCUUGGCUAGAUCUGAGUAUGUAAUUUUCUUUUCUUUCUUGAGCUCUACCUCGCGCCUCCUUUGUAAUAACCCUAAAAAGAGUAUUUUCUUAUAUGGAUAUAUUGUUCUCUCA